rnacentral:rRNA from 1 species
ACCAGACUCCUACGGGAGGCAGCAGUGGGGGAUAUUGCACAAUGGGGGGAACCCUGAUGCAGCGACGCCGCGUGGGUGAAGAAGCGCCUCGGCGCGUAAAGCCCUGUCAGCAGGGAAGAAAAUGACGGUACCUGAAGAAGAAGCCCCGGCUAACUACGUGCCAGCAGCCGCGGUAAUACGUAGGGGGCAAGCGUUAUCCGGAUUUACUGGGUGUAAAGGGGGCGCAGACGGCGAUGCAAGCCAGGAGUGAAAGCCCGGGGCCCAACCCCGGGACUGCUCUUGGAACUGCGUGGCUGGAGUGCAGGAGGGGCAGGCGGAAUUCCUGGUGUAGCGGUGAAAUGCGUAGAUAUCAGGAGGAACACCGGUGGCGAAGGCGGCCUGCUGGACGGCAACUGACGUUGAGGCCCGAAAGCGUGGGGAGCAAACAGGAUUAGAUACCCUUGUAUAC